rnacentral:rRNA from 1 species
UCUGGCACCUUCGGUGUCCGAGUUGUAAUUUGAAGAUUGUAACCUUGGGGUUGGCUCUUGUCUAUGUUUCUUGGAACAGGACGUCACAGAGGGUGAGAAUCCCGUGCGAUGAGAUGCCCAAUCCUAUGUAAGGUGCUUUCGAAGAGUCGAGUUGUUUGGGAAUGCAGCUCUAAGUGGGUGGUAAAUUCCAUCUAAAGCUAAAUAUUGGCGAGAGACCGAUAGCGAACAAGUACAGUGAUGGAAAGAUGAAAAGAACUUUGAAAAGAGAGUGAAAAAGURCGUGAAAUUGUUGAAAGGGAAGGGUUUGAGAUCAGACUCGAUAUUUUGUGAGCCUUGCCUUCGUGGCGGGGUGACCCGCAGCUUAUCGGGCCAGCAUCGGUUUGGGCGGWAGGAUAAUGGCGUAGGAAUGUGACUUUGCUUCGGUGAAGUGUUAUAGCCUGCGUUGAUGCUGCCUGCCUAGACCGAGGACUGCGAUUUUAUCAAGGAUGCUGGCAUAAUGAUCCCAAACC